rnacentral:rRNA from 1 species
AGAGUUUGAUCCCUGGCUCAGGAUGAACGCUGGCGGCGUGCUUAACACAUGCAAGUCGAGCGAUGAAGUUUCCUUCGGGAAACGGAUUAGCGGCGGACGGGUGAGUAACACGUGGGUAACCUGCCUCAUAGAGUGGAAUAGCCUUCCGAAAGGAAGAUUAAUACCGCAUAACGUUGAAAGAUGGCAUCAUCAUUCAACCAAAGGAGCAAUCCGCUAUGAGAUGGACCCGCGGCGCAUUAGCUAGUUGGUGGGGUAACGGCCUACCGAGGCGACGAUGCGUAGCCGACCUGAGAGGGUGAUCGGCCACAUUGGGACUGAGACACGGCCCAGACUCCUACGGGAGGCAGCAGUGGGGAAUAUUGCACAAUGGGGGAAACCCUGAUGCAGCAACGCCGCGUGAGUGAUGAAGGUUUUCGGAUCGUAAAGCUCUGUCUUUGGGGAAGAUAAUGACGGUACCCAAGGAGGAAGCCACGGCUAACUACGUGCCAGCAGCCGCGGUAAUACGUAGGUGGCGAGCGUUAUCCGG